GACGAACGCUGGCGGCAUGCCUAAUACAUGCAAGUCGAGCGAACAGAUGAAGUGCUUGCACUUCUGACGUUAGCGGCGGACGGGUGAGUAACACGUAAGGAAUCUACCUAUAAGCGGGGGAUAACAUUCGGAAACGGGUGCUAAUACCGCAUAAUAUCUUCUUCCGCAUGGAAGGAGAUUGAAAGACGGCUCUGCUGUCACUUAUAGAUGACCUUGCGGUGCAUUAGUUAGUUGGUGGGGUAACGGCCUAUCAAGACGAUGAUGCAUAGCCGACCUGAGAGGGUGAUCGGCCACAUUGGGACUGAGACACGGCCCAAACUCCUACGGGAGGCAGCAGUAGGGAAUCUUCCGCAAUGGGCGAAAGCCUGACGGAGCAAUGCCGCGUGAGUGAAGAAGGCCUUCGGGUCGUAAAACUCUGUUAUAAGAGAAGAACAAAUUGUAGAGUGACUGCUACAGUCUUGACGGUAUCUUAUCAGAAAGCCACGGCUAACUACGUGCCAGCAGCCGCCGUAA
rnacentral:rRNA from 1 species